rnacentral:lncRNA from 1 species
CUCCACUGCAGCACUCAGGCCACACCAAUGGCCUUGGGAGGGGCCUGCUAGGGCUUCACUUCCCUGUCAGGGAGGGUCCAUCCAGGCUGGAGGGCAGGCAGACCCACAGACAGCGCUGGAGUCUCAGCUCGGCCGGUCACUGGUGUCCUGGGGAGGUAGAGCUUGUUCCUCGAAGGGUAGCGGAGAGGAGCAGGGAGCCAGUGGUCCCGGGGAAGAGAUCCCUGGUCUGGCGGGGCUGGUGAGAAAGCCCCUGCCUGAGUCAGUGCUUUUUGAUGGGGCAGGGGGAGUUAGGUGGAUCUGUGGAGAACGGGGGCUUCUUUUGGGGUUUUCAAUCACUGUUCUGUGUGGUGUCAGGGUAUUUCUCAGAUGGCCCAGGUUGCCACGGAGAGGGAUAGGGAGGUUUUCUGUGUUCGGUGGGACUGGGCAGUCCAAGGUUAUUCCUGGGAGCUCCAGAGUAACCAGCUUUGUGAGGGAUCCAGGGCUGCUAGUGGAGAAAGUGGGGGAGGCUGGUGCUUAGGGGCUGUUUUCCACCAGAGGCAGAGGGCUUCCAGCCAGGCUGUUCCUGAAGGUGAUCCAGUGGGUGCGUCAGGGGCUCCAAGACCCUCUGCCGUCCCUCGCCCGGUGGUCCGCGACGCUCGCCUGCAGCGGAAGCGCGGCGUGGCCCUCGCCGCUCAGUCACUCCCCCGCGAGGGCUAGGGCGCCUACAUCCCGGAGCGGCCCCUGGCCCCCGCCCCACGUCCGGACCCCCGCCCUCCUAGCCGACUGCCCCAGCGCGCGCGGGACCCGGGAGAACCCCUGCGCUUGGUCCGGGGCCUCCCGCCCCCGCCGCCGGCGCGGCCCCCUC